UUUCAACCCAACAAUCAUUGUCGGUGAGAUGAAAAGAGAUGAAACAACAAACCCAGAAAAAUCUCAUGCUAAUCUUUGAUCUGAAAAUAGAAAACGUAAUACUGCUUAGAUCGAGCUUUAUCGUUGCUGUUUAUCAAGUUUCUACCACAGAUUUCGAAUUAUAGAAACAUGUAAGCUUUUGAUUGAUUCAAUUUUAGAGAACUUUUUAUUUUUUACAAUUCGUCGAUUUGAUUUCCAGUUUGUGCAAUUCUCUGUUUGAAUAGAUUCAUUGGGAGAUGACUGUGAAGAACCCAAGCUUCUGAAUUAAGGAAAGAAAUCAUGCAAUCAAGAUUGACUGAUGAUAUAGGAUCUUAAACCAAUUACAUAAGACCAGGCAACAUCUUUAAAGAAGGCAAAUUUGAAAGCACUGAUAAAGCCAGUCCAGAUUCUGAAAGCACUGAUAAAGGAUAUCAUCAGAGUCUUCUUCGAUUGUUGUAUCAUAACUCUUGUGAGAUGUUUUUUUCUCCUUUGCCAAAGACUUUGGGAACCUCAUAGUGUUUCUUGAAUU